UCCGAGUUGACCCCGGCAGUCUCCUACGAGUCCCCGGCAUUACCCGCUGGCAACAUAGGACAAGGGUUGCGCUCGUUGCGGGACUUAACCCAACAUCUCACGACACGAGCUGACGACAGCCAUGCAGCACCUGUGUUACGGUUCCCUUUCGGGCACUCCCCCAUCUCUGGGGGAUUCCGUACAUGUCAAGGGUAGGUAAGGUUUUUCGCGUUGCAUCGAAUUAAUCCACAUCAUCCACCGCUUGUGCGGGUCCCCGUCAAUUCCUUUGAGUUUUAAUCUUGCGACCGUACUCCCCAGGCGGAGUGCUUAACGCGUUAGCUACGACGCCUCCGGGGUCAAUACCAGAAACAUCUAGCACUCAUCGUUUACGGCGUGGACUAC
rnacentral:misc_RNA from 1 species